rnacentral:rRNA from 1 species
UACGGGGGGGGCAAGCGUUGUUCGGAAUUACUGGGCGUAAAGGGCUCGUAGGUGGCCCCAUAAGUCAGACGUGAAAUCCCUCGGCUUAACCGGGGAACUGCGUCUGAGACUGCGGGGCUUGAAUCCGGGAGAGGGAUGCGGAAUUCCAGGUGUAGCGGUGAAAUGCGUAGAUAUCUGGAGGAACACCGGUGGCGAAGGCGGCAUCCUGGACCGGUAUUGACACUGAGGAGCGAAAGCCAGGGGGGCAAACGGG